AGGAGGAGAGCCUGAGGCUGGGAGCUCAGCGAAGCACUUGCGCCUCAAUCUUUCAAGCCGAGAGACUUUUGCUCACACCGAGCCUCUGCCUCAGCUUCCCAUCCCACCAGCCCCGGGGAGUAGAGCUGAACGAAUCCUUUGUCUCUCCCCUCACUCAUCCAGGCCUGGAAAAAAAACCCACAGAAAAAUGAAAGCAGAGCCAUCUCAGCCCGGUCAAGACCCUACUGGGUCUGCAACCAGAGGGGAGGGACUUCCUAGAGUCAAAUCCAUUUUGGGCGCUCAACAAAACCCCAUUUGAGGCCACCGUCACACAUCUCCCAGAAGAGGGAUCUCACAGGCUCGACUCUGUUGGGAGGAAAAACAGGCGGGAUGGAAACCGGGCCGCUCCAAUCCAGCAGAUGGGCCACUGUCAACUCGCAACGGUGUAGAGAAUCACCAGGAGGCUGCGCUCUGAACGUGACCAGGCCAAACAUCAGACCUUUAGAUCUUCUUUCCCACCAAUUUCUCUGGGAGAAAAGAACACCUAUCGACAAAGAGAACUUGACAACUUCUUCUACAGGGCCUCAGCCCAGACUGAAGUCCGACCCAGUUCCUCUGAGUAUCAAACGCGGGAGAGUGAGACAGGAUGAGGAAGACACUGAAGCCCAAAAUGCCCCCGCAGAAAUCUGCCGCCCACCUCCUCACCGUCCCUCGGUCUCGCCUAUCCCGCCGUC